rnacentral:sRNA from 1 species
GUUACUCUGAUAAAGCCCAUGCAUGGAUCAAUAAUUGUAUGGUGAUCUCAAGAGUCUCUGUCUGUCCUUUCUUUUGUUUGUAGUUGUUUUUUCCCCCUUCAAAUACAGGAGCUGUUUAAGAGUGGGCAUUUGGCUUCUUUUAAGAGUGAAAUUAUAUCAAUCUCUUAAUUGCUUCUUUUCAUCUGUCUUGUUUCAUACAUGAUGUUUCAUUCUGAAUGCCUGCUUCGCACCACUUCAUUGCAAGGACCUCAUGAAAUGGACUCCCUUCAAAAGGGGAUCUUGCAUGAUCUUUCAUGUUUUAUGUAUUUCUACUAAUAUUUAUCAUACAGCUUAUUAACCUUUGUCUGUCUGGAACAGGCUGCAUAUGAAGUAUAGACUUAUGAAUUUAUUUUACUGUUUUACUUCAUUUAUUUUGGAUUCCUUAUGCAGGUUGUAUCUGAAAAUGCUAAUUACCUGCGAACACCGAGAACUCUUGUGGAACAGAAGCAGAAUCCUACUGUAGGCUUUGAAUUGUAUUCCAUGGUGCCAUCUAUUUGUCCUCUAGAAACUCUUCAUAAUGCCCUAUCUUUAAAGCAAGUGGAUGAAUUUCUUGCUUCCAUUGCUUCUCCAUCAUCUGACGUUCCACGGAAGACCGCUGAAAUUUGUAGGAAAUUUUUCUUUCAUUGUUAUUAUUUAGUUGCUGGGCAACUACAUACUAUCUGAGUAUAACAGGAAUUAUA